AUUUUGAAUGCCAAUGUGCAACACCUGAACCUUGCCUUGUCCGUUCUUUCUGUAUGUUAAGGUUAUGAUGAAGUCCAGUAGACCUGCUGCUGAGGAACAAAACACUGACUGUCAGGCACUGAAAGACCGCCAACAACAGCCCAUGUUGACCCAGCCUGUCUCAGGAACAUCAGCCCCAGAGAGACCUGUACAGAAUGGAGAAGGCCGUACAGAUAAUGUUUCCGGUGGAGAAUUCUGCACACUCUGUCUCGCCUGUUUCAACUGUGGGGCCUCAAUUGGCUUGAUGCAGUAGGCCAGGAUAAAUCAUACCAGUUCAAUCCAUCCAAAUUAUAUCUGCAUUAAAACAUUCUUGG